UACGUAGGUGGCAAGCGUUGUCCGGAUUUACUGGGCGUAAAGAGCGCGCAGGCGGUCGUUCAAGUCGCGUGUGAAAGCCCCCCGGCUCAACUGGGGAGGGUCACGCGAUACUGAUCGACUCGAAGGCAGGAGAGGGAAGUGGAAUUCCCGGUGUAGUGGUGAAAUGACGUAGAUAUCGGAGGAACACCAGUGGCGAAGGCGACUUCCUGGCCUGUUCUUGACGCUGAGGCGCGAAAGCUAGGGAGCAACGGG
rnacentral:rRNA from 1 species